rnacentral:tRNA from 2 species
GCCGGGGUGGCGAAAUUGGUAGACGCAUCAGACUCAAAAUCUGACGGGGGCGACCCCAUGCCGGUUCGACUCCGGCCCUCGGUACCA